rnacentral:rRNA from 1 species
AUAACAUUCCGAAAGGAGUGCUAAUACCGAAUAAGACCACGCCCUCGAAAGAGGAAGCGGCAAAGCUGGCCUCUAUACAUAAGCUAGCGCUUGAAAAUGAGCCCGCGGAGCAUCAGCUAGUUGGUGAGGUAAUGGCUCACCAAGGCUUAGACGCUUAGCUGGUCUGAGAGGAUGAUCAGCCACACUGGAACUGAGAAACGGCCCAG